UGCACCGUCACGUACGCUCUCAGGUUGUGUAGUGUUUGGACCAAUCGGGUCACUUGCGGGUCUGAUUAAUACAGCUGUGCUCCUCUCCACACACACACUGGUGAGGAGACGAGCCACAGGAUCGCUGCUAACACGAGAUCAGCUACCGCUGCUUCGGAGAACAGGGUUUUUGGCUGAGACUGAUAAUCGAAGGGAAUUGGCCAGGUGUGCCCUGUUGGGUGCAUACAUCUAUCACAGGAGGCGAGCUAGAGCCCACGAGCCUGAACCUCACUCAACAACAUCCCGCUGCGGUCUGGUAGGCGGUUGUUAGCAGCCAGUCUUCUCCCACCUAAUUUUUGCCACCUUUUCAGGGUCAUAUUUGUACUCUGGUUUGGCGCGCUCAUGGACAUUCAACAAUAACUCAGGAACUCUGGUUGAAACCUAUGGACAGUUAACCCACACUGCAUUGUGGGAGAAAACUAUCAGUCUUGUAUACCUUGAAUUGUGGUUGGGACAUUUUUAUACUAUGCUGUUAACCUGUUGGGUUGUGACUGUAUUCUUGGUAAAACUUAAAGGAAAAAAAUAGUUGAAGUGCACUUGUUCAUAGAGUGUUGCUAUCUGAAACCAUUGUUAUCUGCAGAUUGUAAAUAUAUUUUUCCUACUCUGUUUUUUCACAAGCAAAAUAAUAAGGCACUUAAACCAAAA